CACUCUUGGUUGCUAUAUCAUAUUAAAGGUUGAAAAAAAUAUGAAAUGAUUUAUGUUUUUGUUUUUUUUUGU